rnacentral:rRNA from 1 species
UACGGGGGGGGCUAGCGUUGUUCGGAAUUACUGGGCGUAAAGGGCUCGUAGGUGGCCAACUAAGUCACACGUGAAAUCCCUCGGCUUAACCGGGGAACUGCGUGUGAUACUGGAUGGCUUGAGUUUGGGAGAGGGAUGCGGAAUUCCAGGUGUAGCGGUGAAAUGCGUAGAUAUCUGGAGGAACACCGGUGGCGAAGGCGGCAUCCUGGACCAAUACUGACGCUGAGGAGCGAAAGCCAGGGGAGCAAACGGG